rnacentral:rRNA from 1 species
AUUGAACGCUGGCGGCAUGCCUUACACAUGCAAGUCGAACGGCAGCACGGGAGCAAUCCUGGUGGCGAGUGGCGAACGGGUGAGUAAUAUAUCGGAACGUGCCCAGUCGUGGGGGAUAACGCAGCGAAAGCUGUGCUAAAUACCGCAUACGAUCUCUGGAUGAAAGCGGGGGACUCGCAAGGGCCUCGCGCGAUUGGAGCGGCCGAUAUCAGAUUAGCUAGUUGGCGGGGUAAAGGCCCACCAAGGCGACGAUCUGUAGCUGGUCUGAGAGGACGACCAGCCACACUGGAACUGAGACACGGUCCAGACUCCUACGGGAGGCAGCAGUGGGGAAUUUUGGACAAUGGGCGCAAGCCUGAUCCAGCAAUGCCGCGU